rnacentral:snoRNA from 1 species
UGAACACUGGUAUUUUACUCAGAUUUAAGAUGAAGAAACCAAGAAAAUCCUCUAGAUAUUCAAGUGCAAUUCAG